rnacentral:rRNA from 1 species
UACGUAGGGUGCAAGCGUUGUCCGAAGUUACUGGGCGUAAAGCGCGUGUAGGCGGGUUGCCAAGUCCGCUGUGAAAGCCCGAGGCUCAACCUCGGAGGGUCGGUGGAUACUGGCAGUCUUGGAGGUGCUAGGGGGAGAUGGAAUUACCGGUGUAGCGGUGAAAUGCGUAGAGAUCGGUAGGAACACCAGUGGCGAAGGCGGUCUCCUGGGGCAUUCUUGACGCUGAGACGCGAAAGCUGGGGGAGCGAACGGG